rnacentral:lncRNA from 1 species
CGCAAACAAGAAAAGGGGAGAGGAACACCCAAGAAAGAAGAGCACCUCAAGUGACAACCCGAAUGUAAGGUAGUUGCCGCCUGUCAUCCUGCACCAACUGGAGGAUAUCCGGGAUCGUAAAAUUCCAAUAGCCUUCCUCCGCUACAGAAGAAGCCAAACAAUCCGCAACCCGGUUCCCUUCCCUGUAGAUGUGAGUGAUAAUAAAAUGAAAACCAGCAAGGGAAGAGAGAA